rnacentral:rRNA from 1 species
UACGUAGGGGGCAAGCGUUGUCCGGACUUACUGGGCGUAAAGCGCGCGCAGGUGGUUUCUUAAGUCUGAUGUGAAAGCCCACGGCUCAACCGUGGAGGGUCAUUGGAAACUGGGAGACUUGAGUGCAGAAGAGGAAAGUGGAAUUCCAUGUGUAGCGGUGAAAUGCGUAGAGAUAUGGAGGAACACCAGUGGCGAAGGCGACUUUCUGGUCUGUAACUGACACUGAGGCGCGAAAGCGUGGGGAGCAAACAGG